rnacentral:rRNA from 1 species
GGUGAACCUGCGGAAGGAUCAUUACACAACAAAAUAUGAAGGCCUGGCUUCGCGGCCGGCUGAAAUAUUUUUUUCACCCAUGUCUUUUGCGCACUUGUUGUUUCCUGGGCGGGUUCGCCCGCCACCAGGACCAAACCAUAAACCUUUUUUUUAUGCAGUUGCAAUCAGCGUCAGUAAAAACAAUGUAAUUAUUACAACUUUCAACAACGGAUCUCUUGGUUCUGGCAUCGAUGAAGAACGCAGCGAAAUGCGAUACGUAGUGUGAAUUGCAGAAUUCAGUGAAUCAUCGAAUCUUUGAACGCACAUUGCGCCCUUUGGUAUUCCAAAGGGCAUGCCUGUUCGAGCGUCAUUUGUACCUUCAAGCUUUGCUUGGUGUUGGGCGUUUUUUGUCUCCCUCUUUCUGGGAGACUCGCCUUAAAACGAUUGGCAGCCGGCCUACUGGUUUCGGAGCGCAGCACAUAUUUUGCGCUUUGUAUCAGGAGAAAAGGACGGUAAUCCAUCAAGACUCUACAUUUUUAACUUUUGACCUCGGAUCAGGUAGGGAUACCCGCUGAACUUAAGCAUAUCAAUAAGCGGAGGAGGAUCCGUG